rnacentral:rRNA from 1 species
GCGGGGAGUGGCGCACUGCUCAGUAACACGUAGCUAACCUAACCUCAAGACGGAAAUAACCCCGGGAAACUGGGGUCAAUGUCCGAUAGAUGUGAAUUCCUGGAAUGGUGUCACAUCCAAACGUCAACACACCAUGUUGUGCGAACGCUUGAGGAUGGGGCUGCGGCCGAUCAGGCUGUUGGUGGGGUAAUGGCCCACCAAACCUUUGACCGGUAUGGGCCAUGAGAGUGGUAGCCCAGAGAUGGACACUGAGACAAGGGUCCAGGCCCUACGGGGCGCAGCCGGUACGAAACCUCCACAAUGCACGCAAGUGCGAUGGGGUUAUCUCGAGUGUUAUCUGAAAAAGGUAGCUUUUCCAUGGUCUAAAUAGCCGUGGGAAUAAGGGGGGGGCAAGACUGGUGUCAGCCGCCGCGGUAACACCAGCCCCCCGAGUGGUAGGGAUGUUUAUUUGGCCUAAAGCGUCCGUAGCCGGCUAAGUAAAUUUCUCGUUAAAUCCAACGUCAUAAGCGUUGGGCUGCGAGAAAGACUGCUUAGCUAGAGGGUGGGAGAGGUCAGCGGUAUUCCUGGGGUAGGGGCGAAAUCCAUUGAACCCAGGAGGACCACCAGUGGCGAAGGCUGCUGACUAGAACACGCCUGACGGUGAGGGACGAAAGCUGGGGUAGCGAAUCGGAUUAGAUACCCGAGUAGUCCCAGCCGUAAACGAUGCAGACUAGGUGUUGGGUUGGCCACGCGCCGACUCAGUGCCACAGGGAAGCCAUUAAGUCUGCCGCCUGGGAAGUACGGCCGCAAGGCUGAAACUUAAAGGAAUUGGCGGGGGAGCACCACCAGGCGUGAAGCCUGCGGUUUAAUUGGAGUCAACGCCGGGAACCUUACCGGGAGCGACAGCAGAGUGAAGGCCAGGCUAAAGGUCUUGCCAGACGAGCUGAGAGGAGGUGCAUGGCCGUCGCCAGUUCGUGCCGUGAGGUGUCCUCUUAAGUGAGGUAACGAACGAGACCCGCGCCGCAUGUUGCUAACAAGUCCUAAAGGGAUGUUGAGCACUCUUGCGGGACCGCAGCCGACAAGGCUGAGGAAGGUGCGGGCAACGGCAGGUCAGUAUGCCCCGAAUCUCCCGGGCCACACGCGGGCUGCAAUGGUAGAGACAGAGGGCUGCAACCCCGAAAGGGGAAGCCAAUCCCUAAACUCUACCUCAGUUGGGAUUGAGGGCUGCAACCC